UGGCGGACGGGUGAGUAAUGUCUGGGAAACUGCCCGAUGGAGGGGGAUAACUACUGGAAACGGUAGCUAAUACCGCAUAACGUCGCAAGACCAAAGAGGGGGACCUUCGGGCCUCUUGCCAUCGGAUGUGCCCAGAUGGGAUUAGCUAGUAGGUGGGGUAACGGCUCACCUAGGCGACGAUGCGUAGCCGACCUGAGAGGGUGACCGGCCACACUGGGACUGAGACACGGCCCAG
rnacentral:rRNA from 1 species